rnacentral:rRNA from 1 species
CCUACGGGACGCAGCAGUGAGGAAUAUUGGUCAAUGGACGAGAGUCUGAACCAGCCAAGUAGCGUGAAGGAUGACUGCCCUAUGGGUUGUAAACUUCUUUUAUAUGGGAAUAAAAUGUUCCACGUGUGGGAUUUUGUAUGUACCAUAUGAAUAAGGAUCGGCUAACUCCGUGCCAGCAGCCGCGGUAAUACGGAGGAUCCGAGCGUUAUCCGGAUUUAUUGGGUUUAAAGGGUGCGCAGGCGGAAGAUCAAGUCAGCGGUAAAAUUGAGAGGCUCAACCUCUUCUAGCCGUUGAAACUGGUUUUU